GACGAACGCUGGCGGCGUGCCUAAUACAUGCAAGUAGAACGCACAGGAUGCACCGUAGUUUACUACACCGUAUUCUGUGAGUUGCGAACGGGUGAGUAACGCGUAGGUAACCUGCCUGGUAGCGGGGGAUAACUAUUGGAAACGAUAGCUAAUACCGCAUAAGAACAUUUACUGCAUGGUAGAUGUUUAAAAGGUGCAAAUGCAUCACUACCAGAUGGACCUGCGUUGUAUUAGCUAGUUGGUGAGGUAACGGCUCACCAAGGCAACGAUACAUAGCCGACCUGAGAGGGUGAUCGGCCACACUGGGACUGAGACACGGCCCAGACUCCUACGGGAGGCAGCAGUAGGGAAUCUUCGGCAAUGGGGGGAACCCUGACCGAGCAACGCCGCGUGAGUGAAGAAGGUUUUCGGAUCGUAAAGCUCUGUUGUUAAGGAAGAACGUGUGUGAGAGUGGAAAGUUCACACAGUGACGGUACUUAACCAGAAAGGGACGGCUAACUACGUGCCAGCAGCCGCGGUAAUACGUAGGUCCCGAGCGUUGUCCGGAUUUAUUGGGCGUAAAGCGAGCGCAGGCGGUUAGAUAAGUCUGAAGUGAAAGGCAGUGGCUCAACCAUUGUAGGCUUUGGAAACUGUUUAACUUGAGUGCAGAAGGGGAGAGUGGAAUUCCAUGUGUAGCGGUGAAAUGCGUAGAUAUAUGGAGGAACACCGGUGGCGAAAGCGGCUCUCUGGUCUGUAACUGACGCUGAGGCUCGAAAGCGUGGGGAGCGAACAGG
rnacentral:rRNA from 1 species